rnacentral:rRNA from 1 species
CCAGCCAUGCCGCGUGUGUGAAGAAGGCCCUCGGGUUGUAAAGCACUUUCAGCGAGGAAGAACGCCUAGUGGUUAAUACCCAUUAGGAAAGACAUCACUCGCAGAAGAAGCACCGGCUAACUCCGUGCCAGCAGCCGCGGUAAUACGGAGGGUGCAAGCGUUAAUCGGAAUUACUGGGCGUAAAGCGCGCGUAGGUGGCUUGAUAAGCCGGUUGUGAAAGCCCCGGGCUCAACCUGGGAACGGCAUCCGGAACUGUCAGGCUAGAGUGCAGGAGAGGAAGGUAGAAUUCCCGGUGUAGCGGUGAAAUGCGUAGAGAUCGGGAGGAAUACCAGUGGCGAAGGCGGCCUUCUGGACUGACACUGACACUGAGGUGCGAAAGCGUGGGUAGCAAACAGGAUUAGAUACCCUGGUAGUCCACGCCGUAAACGAUGUCGACCAGCCGUUGGGUGCCUAGAGCACUUUGUGGCGAAGUUAACGCGAUAAGUCGACCGCCUGGGGAGUACGGCCGCAAGGUUAAAACUCAAAUGAAUUGACGGGGGCCCGCACAAGCGGUGGAGCAUGUGGUUUAAUUCGAUGCAACGCGAAGAACCUUACCUACCCUUGACAUCUACAGAAGCCGGAAGAGAUUCUGGUGUGCCUUCGGGAACUGUAAGACAGGUGCUGCAUGGCUGUCGUCAGCUCGUGUUGUGAAAUGUUGGGUUAAGUCCCGUAACGAGCGCAACCCUUGUCCUUAUUUGCCAGCACGUAAUGGUGGGAACUCUAAGGAGACUGCCGGUGACAACCGGAGGAA